rnacentral:rRNA from 1 species
AUUGAACGCUGGCGGCAGGCUUAACACAUGCAAGUCGAGCGGAGUGAUGGUGCUUGCACUAUCACUUAGCGGCGGACGGGUGAGUAGUGCUUAUGAAUCUGCCUAUUAGUGGGGGACAACAUCUCGAAAGGGAUGCUAAUACCGCAUACGUCCUACGGGAGAAAGCAGGGGAUCACUUGUGACCUUGCGCUAGUAGAUGAGCCUAAGUCGGAUUAGCUAGUUGGGGGGGUAAAGGCCUACCAAGGCGACGAUCUGUAGCGGGUCUGAGAGGUUGAUCCGCCACACUGGGACUGGGACACGGCCCAGACUCCUACGGGAGGCAGCAGUGGGGAAUAUUGGACAAUGGGGGGAACCCUGAUCCAGCCAUGCCGCGUGUGUGAAGAAGGCCUUAUGGUUGUAAAGCACUUUAAGCGAGGAGGAGGCUCUUUUGGUUAAUACCCAAGAUGAGUGGACGUUACUCGCAGAAUAAGCACCGGCUAACUCUGUGCCAGCCGCCGCUGUAA